CUCUCCUUUCUGAGAGCUAAAGACCUUAUCUCCCUGCGGAUGGCAUUGCGUGCAGUUAAUUAUGGCCAGAUGGACUCAGCCGCUUCUUCAUCGUCUUCUCUCGGACUCUGCAGACCUACACCGUGCCUUUAAAGGAAGCAGGGCCCUCCCUGCUGAAGCAUUCAGUGAGCCCAGGCACCAGCAUCUUCAAACCGAGUCUUUUCUCUCCUUAGUGCUGCUCCCCGCUUUCCAGGCCUUCCUGGGAUAUCUUAGAGCUCCUGAAGGUGCGGCACUCGCCUUGAGGCACUUUCUUCUGAGCUGUGAGCUAUGGGCAAGCAGUGGAGGGGGAAGAGAGCAGCUGAAGCAGAUGCCGGUUCAACUUACUUAAAGAUGUGGGACAAGCUCUGAGGAAGCCCCCAAGACAAUGAUGUCUGGUUGUGCACCAUUGAAGCAAGAACAGAAACCAUCCCAGAGUGGAGGACAUGGCCCAUGUGGUCCUCCUGUUCUGAGUGGCUAUGAGAUGGAGUUCUGUGUGAGCUCUCUACAGAAAAAGCCCUGU
rnacentral:lncRNA from 1 species